ensembl:lncRNA
CGAUGGUAUUUAUUGUUGUUCCAAACCACGGCCGGUCACAAUCCUACCAAACCCAGCACAACGAGGCACACAGCACACAAAUAAAACAAGACACAAACAAAGGUAAUAAAAGAGACAAGUAUCUGUUUCGAAAGCACAGGGAGAGCAGCAGGAGUGUAACUACUUCGUGUUCCAGCUAAUAUAGCUGUCUGGAGUGAUGCUCCAAAAGCUAUACCAGGGAGCAUUUUAUGGGUUUCCCUUGGAGAGCUCUUGUAAAUAUUUGCCUGCAGUGGCUGCGGAGCGCUAGUAAUGUUGGGUGAUUGCUUUGCUUUGCCAGCCAAGCGGAGCAACCAACAGGUUGGGGUGCCAGAAUAGCACAGCCCUCACCAUGGGCAAUACGCAUGGAAAUGUCAACAUCCAAACCCCAGCAUGGAGCACCCAGACUCCUCCAUGUAGCACCCAGCUCCUCUGAUAUGGCACCUGUACCCCUCAUGUAUGGGGCACACAAACUGCCCCAUACAGCAACCAGCCCCACCAAGUAGCACCCAGACCAGUCUACAGCGCCAUGCAGCACCCAACCACCACCAUGUAGCUCCCCCGUGUAUACACUUCAUGCAACACCCAAUAUCAACAUGUAUCACCCAAAGCCCACCAUAUAGCACCCAGGCUGCUCCAUGUGGCAACCAGCUCCUCCAUGCAGCGCUCACACUGCUCCAUGUAGCACCCAAUGCACUCCAUGUAGCACCCAACCCAAUCAUAUAUCACAGGCCCUUCCAUGUAGCAACCAACAACCCCACUGUAGCACCCAAACUACCCCACAUGUCACCCAACCUCACCACGUAGCAUCCACCAUAUAGUACCCAACCCCAUCAUGUAGCACCCAGACCCCUCCAGGUAGCAGACACUCCAUGUAACACACAACAUCAAGAUGUAUCAGCUAAACCCCAUCAUAUGGCAUCCAACCCCUCCACGAAGCACCCAACCAUCCCCAUGUAGCACCCAAACUGCCCCAUACAGCACCCAACGCCACAUGUAGCAACUACCACUUAGCACCCAACCCCAUCAUGUAGCACCCAGAUCCACCAUGUAGCACAUUGCAGCCUUUGGGAACUGAUGCAGCCACUUUCACAGAAGGCUGAGCCAUUAACAACCUGCAGAGGCACUCCAGAUAUACAUCAGCCUAUAUAUUUCAAAUGGGGUCAUUUGAACACCAGUCCUUUUGCCCCCUUGACACAGAAGCAUAAUCCCAAAAUCCCAGAGGUCUUCCUCCCAUCCAUCCAUAGGGUCAAGGCUUUGAGCACAGUGGGAAGGGCAGGGUGAGGGACAGGGACCCUGUGGGGAAACUCACCCCUGAGCCCACACAGGGCCUUGAGUCCCAUUCAGCCUCCUCCCCUUACCACAUCUUAUUAAUUCAUGCUGCUGACCCGAGGCUCCCAGAUGUCCACACACCGUGUGCCAGCUUCCUGAUCAAGUUGGCCCAGCCUCCAUUGGGAGGAAGGAUUCAAUAUGGGGUGGAUGGAGAUGGAUCCAGGCAGCAGCUGCUGGAUGAGUGCCUUCUGCCUCAGCCAAAGCAGGAUCAAGGUUUCAUCUGCUUUCUGCUCACAGGUCUGCUUGCUUGCUGGGGGCAGGCAUUCAAUAUUGUGCAACGGGUCAGGUCAGUGUGUUGGGUUAAGUGAGGGCAGACUGAAAAUAUGCCCCCCAAAAGUCCUUUAUUGAAGGAUGCAGGAGGCUCUGCUGACAUGGAUUCUGCACCCAAAGGUCUGGUGGGACCAGGGCUCACCCAGGAACCAUAGCAGGGGUGAGGACCCAAUGGAGUUCUCAGGGACAAGAUGGGUCCCGCAACCUGCAGGCAAGAAGUCCUUGAACUUUCGUUGUGACUUCAAAAGGGAAAAACCCAGGAGAUGGCUGAGCUCAGUGGAGGGUUGGGGUACAACAGGACGUUCCUGCUCCCUCUCCUUCAGGUUCACAGACCCGCGGGCUGCUGCCGGCCUGCCCCCAUUAGCCAUUGUUCCUAUUCAUUUUAGAUGAAGAGGCUUUUGUUGUCAGAGCCCACACGGGGUCACAUUGCCCCUUGGUGAUCAAUCUGCUUCCCCCUGCUCUGUCCCAAACCCCGCUCCCCAUUACAAUGGGAUGUUUUCUUUGGGAGCAGCUCCAUGUCAGGCCAUGCUCCCUUUGCCUCCAGCCCUAUAAGCACUCAUUAAGCAUUGGGUUCCCCACUCCCUUUUCGGCCACACUCCCAGUUUAACCCCUGAUCCCAUGUAGGCUAUGGGUCAGUGGGAAAGGGGAAAAAUCACAGCUAUGGGGCACUGGCAUGGGCUGAGUGUUAUGGGAGGAUCUGGGCUUGAAGCCUUUCCUUGUGAAGUUGUAUGGGAGCACCUGGAAAGGUUGAGGUUGAGUAAAAGGAAAAGCAACCUUUGCUUCAACCCUCUAAAAACCCCCACGUUCUCCCUGGGAUCAUUAUUUUGGCACUGGGACUCAAAGAGCUGCAUGUUCACAGAAGUGGGUAUAAUGCAUCACCCCCAGGUUUCCUACCUUUAUCAAGCACUGUUCAGCCAAAACUGUUGGUACCAAGAGAAACUCAUCCAAAAUUAAGGACAAAACCUCCAAGAGGUGUCACGUUUGCAGCUUUGCCAGCAGAGCCUGCAGCAACGUAGGGUGCAGAUGGGUGAAACUUGGUGACCUCCCAAUUGCUCUGCCCAGUGAGUAAACCCCCUUCUUGGGAGGCUGCUGCUGGAGCCCCACGCUCAGCCCCGGCAGCAGCAGCGAUGAGUCAGGCUCUGAAAAAUCACAGCACUGCCUUAAAUACCGCAGCGCCGGUUUAAACACAGAUAUAUUGGGCUUACUGCUUUCUAGACACCAAAACUCUUAAAUAGAGUCUGGUCAUAUUUUCCCCAGGCAACUGGUGACUGUUUCAUGGAAAGCUGAGAUUCUCACUGAUAUUUCCAGGAAAAAUAAAGCAGCGAGCAGUGGGUGCUGUGGCACAGCCUCAUGCAGGCACUCCUCCCAUCCCCUUCUCCCUUCUCGUUUUCCCCACUUGAAAUGACCAUUUAUUCAAACUGAAAACGUAGCAUUGUUCUGAGCACCCAGGAAAGAAGGCCCGUAAUAAGCAGCAGGGAGAAGGCAGAGCACUUCCCAUUGAUAGCAUUCCUUCUGCAGGGCCCACUCCAAAGCCUAUUGAUGUCAGCAAAGUCUUUUCAUUGACUUCAAUGAGCCCCGGAUCACAGCGUAGGCUUAUAAAGGCAUUUAGGCUCCUAAUGAUGUAAGUAGUUGCCUAGAGGUGUUGGGGGCCUAACCUGCUUACAGCCCUUUGUAACUCACACCAGGCAUCUGCCUGCAUGUCGGAGCAGGGAAAUACCUGGAACACCGCAGCAUGGCCAAACACAGAGCUGGAAGUGCAUUUGCAAACGUCAGGUGUAUGGGUCCGGUUGCACUGCUGCUGAGUGGGUCUCAGUUUGGAAAUCCCAACAUUGGAGGUGAGUGUCUGCAUAGAGAGGAGAUGUCAUCAAGUUGAGAGAAGAUCUAGUAGAAUAACUCAUUGCAAGUAACAUUUGUUAUUAAUUUUGGCCUGUUUACUAUUUGGGAACACAUUUCUAGUAGUCAGCCAGCUCUGCAGAUGGCUGAUUAUUAUUCACUGCAAUUUUUUCCCCUUCUCGUGGAAUAAUUUGUAGACACACCAGCUUAACUUCCAAAGAGUUGAAGUUGAAUUCCUUAGUGAGGUCCACACCAAACAGAGGUGGGGGGAGGGCAGGUCUAAGACAAGUGUUUCAUGUGUGAAUUUGUUUAAAAAUUCCGCAAUCUAUGACAAACAUUUCAUAUUAAAGGGACGUUCCCACAGGCAAUGAAGUAAUGAAGCCCUCAGCACCAGGCAGCCGAGGUGUGGAGCUGAUGGCUGCUUCGGCACUGCGUGUGCUCUCAAUGGAGGGGAGCAAAUUCGGAGGGCAGCAUCACGUUGUGCUUGUGGGAAUGUCAGCAUGUGCUGACUCCACAGGCAGCCCGCGGGUCAUUUGCUCACGGGAGUGGGAAUAAAAGCCUGAUUUCACCUCAUCCAGCACUGAUUUCAGGUCUUUCAGUGAUGAUUCCUGAGCUAUCAGCACUGAUUUCAGAUCUUCCAGCACUGAUUUCAGGUCCUUCAGCACCGAUUUCGGGUCUUUCAGUGCUGCAUGCAUUACAGCUCUCGGUGUAACAGCGUCCCCGCAGCUGGACUGAUGCUGUAAGGAGGACGGUUCUGUGCGAAGACUCUCUUCCAGGUAAGGAUACCGCCACCGUUCACACCGGGACUUUGUCGCGGACACCGGGCCGAUGACGGACACCACGGGGGGAGCUGACACCCCCCGACGGACGCCCGCCGGGCUCACCGCGACAGCACUGGGCUGACGGUGGGGCCGGGAGCGAUGGGGCACUCCCGGGGCCGCUCUCCGCCGCCGCUCCCCGCGGACACCCCGCAG